rnacentral:rRNA from 1 species
UUAAUUGAAGAGUUUGAUCAUGGCUCAGAUUGAACGCUGGCGGCAGGCCUAACACAUGCAAGUCGAGCGGCAGCACAGAGGAACUUGUUCCUUGGGUGGCGAGCGGCGGACGGGUGAGUAAUGCCUGGGAAAUUGCCCGGUAGAGGGGGGAUAACCAUUGGAAACGAUGGCUAAUACCGCAUAACCUC